CCCAAAUCUCAAGUCACCCGGAAUGCACCCAAUCUCAUUAGAUCUUGGGACUCUAAGCAGGGUUUAGCCUGGAUAGUGCAUGGAUGGGCAAACGCCAAUGUUUGCACAAAAUGGGUGCAGUAGGAGGCGUUGUGG
rnacentral:rRNA from 1 species